rnacentral:rRNA from 1 species
GAUGAACGCUGGCGGCGUGCCUAACACAUGCAAGUCGAACGGAAAGGCACUGAGUUUGUGGGGUGCCCGGGGGGGGAAGGGGGGAGGAAGACGUGUGUAACGUACCCUUGACUUUGGGAUAACUUAAGGAAAGUGGGGCUAAUACCGGAUAGGAUCUCCUGCAGCAGGGGGGGGGAUGGAAAGUUUCGGCGGUGGGGGAUGGAAUGGCGGGUUAUCAGCUUGGUGGUGGGGUAGGGGCUUACCAAGGCAUUGACGGGUAGCCGGCCUGGGAGGGUGGCCAGCCACCAUGCGCCUGCGGUACGGCCCAGUCUCCUACGGUCGGCAGCGGUGGGGAGUCUUGCACAGUGGGCGCACGCCUGUUGCGGCGGCGCCGCGUGCGGGAUGCCCGCCUUCGGGUUAUGAACCGCUUUCGCCUGUGACGAAGCGUGAGUGACGGUAAUGGGUAAAGAAGCACCGGCUAACUACGUG